rnacentral:rRNA from 1 species
AGCUCCAAUAGCGUAUCUUAAUGUUGUUGCAGUUAAAAAGCUCGUAGUCGAAUGUCUGGCCGAGGAUCCCGCAUCUUAUGUGGACCUUCCUUAGGCCAUCCGCCUGAAAAUAUUGUGGUUUUUCAUCGCUCUACUUUAGGAUCAGGCACUUUACUUUGAAGAAAUUAGAGUGUUUCAGGCAGGCUUUCGCUUGAAUACACCAGCAUGGAAUAAUGGAAUAGGACUGAUAUCAGUUACUGGUUAAUGAUGUUAGUAAUGAUUAAUAGGGACAGUUGGGGGCAUUCGUACUUGUCAGUCAGAGGUGAAAUUCUUCGAUUUGACAAAGACGAACUAAUGCGAAGGCAUCUGCCAAGGAUGUUUUCA